rnacentral:rRNA from 1 species
CCUACGGGUGGCUGCAGUGGGGAAUAUUGGACAAUGGGGGGAACCCUGAUCCAGCCAUGCCGCGUGUGUGAAGAAGGCCCUCGGGUUGUAAAGCACUUUCAGUGAGGAAGAACGCCUGGUGGUUAAUACCCAUCAGGAAAGACAUCACUCACAGAAGAAGCACCGGCUAACUCCGUGCCAGCAGCCGCGGUAAUACGGAGGGUGCGAGCGUUAAUCGGAAUUACCGGGCGUAAAGCGCGCGUAGGUGGCUUGAUAAGCCGGUUGUGAAAGCCCCGGGCUCAACCUGGGAACGGCAUCCGGAACUGUCAAGCUAGAGUGCAGGAGAGGAAGGUAGAAUUCCCGGUGUAGCGGUGAAAUGCGUAGAGAUCGGGAGGAAUACCAGUGGCGAAGGCGGCCUUCUGGACUGACACUGACACUGAGGUGCGAAAGCGUGGGUAGCAAACAGGAUUAGAUACCCCUGUAGUC